UAUUAAAAAAAAAAAAAAAAGCAUCACUGAAGCAGAAUUAUCCAAAAAAAUCAUUUGAGUGAUAACAGUCAAAUUUUGCAGAUAUUAAAAUGUACAGAAAAAAAGGUCCUUGAUGGAAAAAAAAAAGCAUUAAAAUUGCAUGGUUUAAAACAUAUUAUCUAUUUUCAAUAUAAUUAUGUGUAUAUACUAUAUUUAAUUAAAAUUAUACCCUUGACGAAAAAAAUUAAAUCAAACUUAUCAUAAAUUUUUCUAAAAAAAAAAAAGAAAACUUAUCAUAAAUUUAUUAAAAGAAAUAUAACUCGCAAAGUUCAAUGGGAAAG
rnacentral:misc_RNA from 1 species